CUCUGUGGACACCUGGGGAGAGUCGCUGGAGGGGAAUCGCUUUGACACGUCCUUGACAGCAGGUGGCGACGGCGUGGAGUCUGAGAUUUCAACUGGAAUUAAAAAAAAAAAAAAGAACAGUUAAAAAAGGCGGCAGACCUAUCUGCAGAGCUGGAGGGGUCACUGAUGUUUUCAUCUCGGAUCUUUGUUCUUAUCUGCGUUAGUGAGAAAAUGGAUGCUGUGGCUUAGCGGUCCGUGGGACCAACUGAUGCCGAGGUGCAGCGCUGAUGUUCUGCCGCCCUGCAGCAUGUUCUCCCAUCAUCUCUGCCCGUCCAGUGGCACAAAGCCCAUAAUGCACUGCCACGGGCACGCUCAAACGCUCAUGCAUGAAAUAAGACAGGACACUUUAUUUUUUUUCCCCCUUUUCUGUAGAGUAGACAACGCGGGAGUCGGAUCCCGCAGAACUCCAGCCCAACCCAACUCGAAGACUCGCAGUGAAGUGCAUUUUGUCUAGACGUCUUCACUUCAGACCCUUCCUGGAUUUUACAAUUCAACCCACUGAUGAAGGAUUAUCUACUAUCCGGUUAGGGAGUUGUCAUUUAAUUCAACUUUAAUAUAAAGACGUAGAUUUUAGUUGAUGUAAACUAAGAUAUCCACAGGCAGUAUGCUACAUUUUACUCACACAUUUGAACUGGAACACUAACAAAUAAUGUUAAAUAAAAUGUAAAGAAAGAUUUGCUAACAUAUGUGCAAUAGAAUUGUUAUGGACAGACAAUUAGGUCAUUUUUAUUUGGGAAACAAGUUUUUUCAUCAAAAUACGCAGUAUUAAUCAAACAUAAGCUUAUUGGAAUUUAAAAGUGAUGAUUAGGGAAUGUAAAACCCAGCAGAAAAUAUGUAAAAUGUGUAGCAUAAAAGGCAUUUUUCUACAGUUAUUAUGUCCAAAACUGUUUUUUUUUAAAACAUUUUUUAUAUGAGGUACUCCAAGUAAAACAAUGUGAUUAAAACUUCUCCACGUACUCAGAAGUACUUUUACAUUGAAUAGUUACCACAGUCCAGGCUGUAAACUGCAACAAACCGCAUUCAUUAAGUCAGAACAAUGCUGACUUUAUGAAUUGCUUAGGCUAAUUUUUAACUUUAAACUAGAUCAUAAAAACCAGACGCACACAUCCUUGGACUGAUAAUGAGGUGUUAUGAAUUGAUACAAUCAGUAUUAGUGUUGAUUACAUUAAUGUUUGCGUCACGCAUUGCGAGGGUACUGAUUAAACACGUCCUUCUUCUGUUCUAUGUGGUCUUUUGCACUUGGACACAAAAGUAGCUUUCCGAUUAAAAGCCAACUUUAUUUCUAA